ACUAUGACCCUCAGAGAUAAUGGCUCUAAUUCUCUUCCUUCACUUCUUGUUGUAAUUGCAGCCAGUCCAACUGCAAUUAAACGAUAUUGUCAUGCUUAAUGACCUACAAAAAAUAUUAGGAGCCAUUAAUUGGCUCYGACCAGUGCUAGGACUUUCCACGGAACUGCUACAGCCCCUUUUUGAAAUGCUCAAAGGGGCACCUCCCUAAUCUCCACUCGAACUUUGACACCUGAAGCGAGAAAGGCACUCCGGUUAUGUGCCCACGCUCUGGAGGAACGCCAGAGUUGGCGACAUGAUUUCUCAUUGCCUUUUUAUUUAGCUCUGAUUGCUAACUGCUUCCAGCCUUUUUCAGUAUUAUUUCAAUGGGACCUAAGAGACAAAGAUCCAUUGCACAUUUUGGAAUGGAUUUUUCUGUCACAUACUCCACCGAAAACCUUAUGGACUCUUACAGAAAUGUAUUCUAAGCUUAUCGUUAAGGGACGGGAGAGACUGCAAACCAUGAAUGGCUGUGACCCUGAAGUUAUUUAUAUCCCAGCCACUAUAGACAACUUGAACUGGUUAAUUUCAGAAGAUUGGGGUUUUCAAGUAGCCCUUGCUGAUUUCACAGGACAACUUUCCAUUCAUUAUCCUCAACGUAAGUUAUGGGCAGAGACCGGCAGCCUAUCCCUAGUCACUCAGUGCCGCUGUCGCCCUGUCCCGGUUCCUGGUUUAACUGUCUUCACCGAUGCUUCGGGCAGAUCUAAAAGGGCUGCUAUCACGUGGCAGGACCCUGUCACGCAACAAAAAAAAAAAAAAAAAUUUUGAGUGUUGGAACUUACCCAGCAAAUGGGAAGCUGGGACUGUCACCUCUGAUUCAGUGAGGCUACAGUGAUAUUGUUGUAGGUGACUGGGCUUGAGCUUUUGCUCACAUAAUUACAGCCAGUGGUUCAAUUUCAGAAAAUCUUCCAGAUAAACCCAUUUCAGAGAUUUCCUUCUGCCAGACAGGAGGCAGAGAGCAAGACAGAGCAUUUGGGAUCUAGGACUAACCUGAGCCCCAAGUUAAAAUGCCAAUGCAAAUAUGAAGUGUUGCCUACUACUGAGCUUCCCGUUUUACUCUCUGUAAAAGAACCACCCGCUACACUCUGAGCCAGGGUCUGGGGGGACAACAGAGUCUGUGGAGAACCUCUGUUUCACUGCUUGAAACCCAGCAUCUCCUUCUGCCCCCCGCCCUUGCAUUUUUGAGGCAUCCUAUUUGUAGAGUCAUCUGCUCCUUUCCUUUAUAUGUCUAAAACCAAAUGCAAAGGUGGAGGGAAAAAUGUCAGUAUUUAUUGCCUAUGUUUUCCUUGGGCUUCCUUCUGUUAGAUGUGUUUUUUGGUUUAAAAAAGAAAUAACUAAAUAAAUGAAGAGAUUUGAGACUGAAAUAGUGAGUU
rnacentral:lncRNA from 1 species